UGAAAUGGGGGAAAUUCACGAAAAUAUCGCCGAAACCUUCUGCCCAGCAGUAACUUGAACGCUUACCUGCCGUUUACAAGACAUUUACUUGGAGGAUUGUUCAGAUAAAAGCAGAUGAAAAAUGGUAGUAAUCAGUCUUACCUCAGGAGAACACUAUAGAACAAUACAGAACACGUCCGAACUUGUCCGGCAAAUUUGGAAAGUGAGCGAGUUAGGGAUUAGGGAUGACACGAAAUACUUGUCACAGGGCUCGCCUACGAUGCUGGUCAGGGCCAGUUCAACAUGGUAUUUCGAUAUUUCAACAAAGCGAGAUAUUUUAUUCUCGUGAAGUAGUAAGGUUUUGUAUGGAAGAUGGAAAAAAGUCAGAAUGAACAGAAAUUGUCGGGAACAGCAGUAACAGCCGUCUCCGAUAUUUUCUUUAAUGUGAUCAGGCCUGUGAGUCACAGGCUGUGACUGACUGACUGUUUUUUCGGAAUUCUGAGCUGUUCCUUGCCCUUGAAACUUGAUCUUUUUCGACGAAUAGCAGUGCUUCUGAAAUAAAAUAGCAUUUGUUGCAUCUGCCCAGUGGAGUAGUGGACGAACUAUAUUUAAAUUUGUAUAGGCGCUAUUUACCUAGUCUGAACAUGUUUCAAUAUUUGUUUAUAUCAAACAAAGCUCAAGUAUUAAAUGGCCAAUUUUCAAUUAAGCGAUAAGAUGAAUUGUAAUCAGUGAUUAGCAUGAAAAUGGAAGAUUUUUCGCAUUUUACUGCCCUUAAGUGGGAAAGAUAAAAAAUGUGGUCACCUUUUUUUGAGUUGAAAUAAAAUUUCGAUAAAAUGGUAAAACGUUACU